UCCUUCCUUUUUACCACCCUGAACGCGCGCAAUCUCUUCUGAUCUCAGAAGCUAAGCAGGGUCAGGCCUGGUUAGUCCUGGCAUGGGAGACCAGCUUGGUUUUUGAAAUUAGAAAAUGCCGGAG
rnacentral:rRNA from 1 species